rnacentral:misc_RNA from 1 species
UGAACAAUGUUCUACUCUAUGAUAA